ACGGCCGAUCUUGUUCUUCUCCGUUCCCUUUCGAGCUUUGCCUUCUCCGUUCACUCUCUUUCCUCUCCCACGCCAACAACCCCAACUCCUCAUUCUUCUUCUCUUUCAAAAUAAAAUCUCCACCACCAUCGAUUUCAACGGAGGGUUGCAAAAAGCUCCCUUAUCAAGAGAAAAGGGAUCAAUCAAGAUGUCAUGACUGUUUGGGAGGUGGUUGGGCGAGGGAAUAGAGACGUUUGUUGCGACAGUGGAAGUGGUGGGUAGGUGGGUUAUUCGGGGCUUCAUAUUGAUCUUGCCGUUGAAGUAGAUUGUGGUGAUGGUGGUGCUGCCAUGGCAGCCAUGGCUGAGUGGUCGUAGAUUUAAGGUUUAAGAGGGCACUGGGCAGUUCGAGCCUUCGAGGUGCUGAUGUGCAGCCGUGCAGGUGCAGUUCGGCGACGGUGUUGAUACAGUCGUGCAAGUCCAGAUCCAGUGGCAGUCUGGCAGAGUAGCAGUAGUCGUUCCUCUUUGAGAGGUGUUGAUGUGCAGGUUUACCGAUUUGAGAGAGAGAAGCAGACAAGCAAUGGGUUUUACUAUUAUAUAGAGAGAAAUUGUGAGAUUGAGAUUCGAGAAGUGAUCAAGUGAGUGAGAUUGUGAGAAGUUGAGAACCAGAAAUUGUGAGCUUGUGAUUUGUGAAGAAUAGAAUGUGUAAGGGGGGUAUUUGUAGGUUGAAUGGUUGAGCAACGGUCGGAAUUGCAUUUGCUUCAACGGCAACCUGCAAGGCUGCAACUGGUUUUGAAUCUCAUCUCAGGAGCUUCUGAAAGAUAAGUUGCAUCUUGGGAACCCUCAAUUCCCUUCGCAGUGGCUCUUGAAAUCAAAGGCUCCUCCUAAAUGUAUUUUUUUCUGCUGGGAGGUCGUUUGGGGGAGAAUCCUAACUGAACAUUUGCAAAGGAGAGACAUAUCUAUGGUGAAAAGAUGUAGUCUCUGUAGAGCUAACUUGGAAUCUAUUAACCAUCUUUUAUUGCACUGCCCUUGGCCUUCAAAAAUCUGGGCAAAUGUUUGUUGAUGCUGGGCAUUUCUUGGGUCUCUAGCUCUUCAGUGGACAUGGAACUUCUGGCUUUGAGGGCUAUCGGCAGGGACAAACAGCCGAGAAACUUUAUUCAAUUAAUUCCUAUGUCUGUGAUGUGGAUGCUAUGGUUGCAGAGGAAAUCAGAGUCUUCAACAACUACGAAUCCUCCAUAGAAUGCCUAAGGUUUUGGGGCUCUGCUUUUGUUGGGAAUAUUUUUGAUCUGUUGAAUCUCUCCCCCUUGUAAUCUGUCUGGGUAGCACCCCCUUGGUGCUUGAAUAAAUUUUUUUCUUUUCAAAAAAAAAAAA